rnacentral:rRNA from 1 species
UACGGGGGGGGGCAAGCGUUGUUCGGAAUUACUGGGCGUAAAGGGCUCGUAGGCGGCCAACUAAGUCGGAUGUGAAAUCCCCAGGCUCAACCUGGGAACUGCAUCCGAUACUGGAUGGCUUGAAUUCGGGAGAGGGAUGCAGAAUUCCAGGUGUAGCGGUGAAAUGCGUAGAUAUCUGGAGGAAUACCGGUGGCGAAGGCGGCAUCCUGGACCGACAUUGACGCUGAUGAGCGAAAGCUGGGGGAGCAAACGGG